rnacentral:misc_RNA from 1 species
GAUGAAGAACGUAGCAAAAUGCGAUAAGUAAUGUGAAUUGCAGAAUUCAGUGAAUCAUCGAAUCUUUGAACGCACAUUGCGCCCGCCAGUAUUCUGGCGGGCAUGCCUGUUCGAGCGUCAUUUCAACCCUCAAGCACAGCUUGGUGUUGGGACUCGCGUUAAUUCGCGUUCCUCAAAUUGAUUGGCGGUCACGUCGAGCUUCCAUAGCGUAGUAGUAAAACCCUCGUUACUGGUAAUCGUCGCGGCCACGCCGUUAAACCCCAACUUCUGAAUGUUGACCUUGGAUCAGGUAGGAAUACCCGCUGAACUUAAGCAUAUCAAUAAGCGGAGGA